rnacentral:rRNA from 1 species
GGGGAACCAGGACUUUUACUUUGAAAAAAUUAGAGUGCUCCAGGCAGGCCUAUGCUCGAAUACAUUAGCAUGGAAUAAUAGAAUAGGACGUGUGGUUCUAUUUUGUUGGUUUCUAGGACCGCCGUAAUGAUUAAUAGGGACAGUCGGGGGCAUCAGUAUUCAAUUGUCAGAGGUGAAAUUCUUGGAUCUAUUGAAGACUAACUACUGCGAAAGCAUUUGCCAAGGAUGUUUUCAUUGAUAAGGAACGAAAGUUAGGGGAUCGAAGACGAUCAGAUACCGUCGUAGUCUUAACUAUAAACUAUGCCGACUAGGGAUCGGACGAUGUUAUCUUUUGACGCGUUCGGCACCUUUCGAGAAAUCAAAGUGCUUGGGCUCCAGGGGGAGUAUGGUCGCAAGGCUGAAACUUAAAGAAAUUGACGGAAGGGCACCACCAGGGGUGGAACCUGCGGCUUAAUUUGACACAACACGGGGAAACUCACCAGGUCCAGACACAAUGAGGAUUGACAGAUUGAGAGCUCUUUCUUGAUUUUGUGGGUGGUGGUGCAUGGCCGUUCUUAGUUGGUGGAGUGAUUUGUCUGCUUAAUUGCGAUAACGAACGAGACCU